GCCAAUAGUCUAGCCCCCCAACAUCUAAUGAAAUUAAACACCUUGUCACAAAAACUAAAACAUUUUAUUAAUCUAGUAAAGGCGAUUAAAAGAUUUGUAGGAGCAAUAUAAGCAGUACCGCAAGGGAAAGAUGAAAUAAAAAUGAAAUAAAUAUUAAGCACAAAAUAGUAGAGACUAGCCCUCGUACCUUUUGCAUCAUGGUUUAACAAGUCCAAUCAAGCAUAAAGACUUACAGUUUGACCUCCCGAAACUAAGUGAGCUACUUCAGGGCAGCUUAUUGAGCGAACCCGUCUCUGUUGCAAAAGAGUGGGAUGACCUUCAAGUAGGGGUGACAGACCUAACGAACUUAGUGAUAGCUGGUUGCUCAAGAAAAGGAUUUAAGUCCAGCCUAAAGUCUUCUUAGUUUAUCAAAACAUAACCUCGACUUUAGAGUAAUUCAAAUAAGAU
rnacentral:rRNA from 1 species